AGCGAACGCUGGCGGCAGGCCUAACACAUGCAAGUCGAACGAAGCCUUCGGGCUUAGUGGCGGACGGGUGAGUAACACGUGGGAACGUACCUUUUGGUUCGGAACAACUCAGGGAAACUUGAGCUAAUACCGGAUGAGCCCUUAGGGGGAAAGAUUUAUCGCCGAAAGAGCGGCCCGCGUUAGAUUAGCUAGUUGGUGAGGGAAAGGCUCACCAAGGCAACGAUCUAUAGCUGGUCUGAGAGGAUGAUCAGCCACACUGGGACUGAGACACGGCCCAGACUCCUACGGGAGGCAGCAGUGGGGAAUCUUGCGCAAUGGGCGAAAGCCUGACGCAGCCAUGCCGCGUGAAUGAUGAAGGUCUUAGGAUUGUAAAAUUCUUUUGCCAGGGACGAUAAUGACGGUACCUGGAGAAAAAGCCCCGGCUAACUUCGUGCCAGCCGCCGCAGUAAGAC
rnacentral:rRNA from 1 species